rnacentral:rRNA from 1 species
AAAGGUAAUACUUCUUGGAAACCUUUAUCCUUUGGCGGCCUUUUUUCUUUUCAGAGGAAUUCGUCUACAAAUCGAAAUUACCCGAUUACUUUCACUUUCUUUUUAUCAUUUAUACCGCCGUCUAAAUAAUAUAUUUAAAACUAUAUUUGCAAAAACAUUUACUAAGUCAGGUCAAGGUGAAGAAAUAAGAAAGUUUAGAUAAAUUACUUAUAAAUAUUAUUAAUGGAUUUUAUUCUAAAGUUACAAAUGAAACAGGAUUUGAUAGUAGGAUGAACACCAAAUAAAAAUUUCACCCGAAUCAGCAUUUAGGUGUACACAUCGCCCGUCGCUCUUA